rnacentral:rRNA from 1 species
UACGUAGGGGGCAAGCGUUGUCCGGAUUUAUUGGGCGUAAAGAGCGUGUAGGCGGCUUUACAGGUCCGUUGUGAAAACUCGAGGCUCAACCUCGAGACGCCGGUGGAAACCGUAAAGCUAGAGUCCGGAAGAGGAGAGUGGAAUUCCUGGUGUAGCGGUGAAAUGCGUAGAUAUCUGGAGGAAUACCGGUGGCGAAGGCGGCAUCCUGGACCGACAUUGACGCUGAGGAGCGAAAGCUAGGGGAGCAAACGGG